UACAGAGGGUGCGAGCGUUGUCCGGAAUCACUGGGCGUAAAGGGCGCGUAGGUGGCCUGAUAAGUAGGGGGUGAAAUCUCGUGGCUCAACUGCGAGGCUGCCUCCUAAACUGUCGGGCUUGAGCAGAGUAGAGGCAGGUGGAAUUCCCGGUGUAGCGGUGGAAUGCGUAGAGAUCGGGAAGAACAUCAGUGGCGAAGGCGGUCUGCUGGGCCGUUGCUGACGCUGAGGCGCGACAGCGUGGGGAGCAAACAGG
rnacentral:rRNA from 1 species